ACACAACCUUCCCUGCUGCAGUAACAAUCAUUUUGCCCACAUUAAGCAACACUGGAAUAUUAUGAUCCCCACAAAUACCCCCAUUUUCUAAAUCAUAUCCCAAACAAUUCCAAGUUUGAUAUCCCUUCCAAUAUUAUCUCCAUAGAACCUCCAGUAAAUCACCUCCUUCCUCAGCACGGCCUUUGCCCUUUUAUUGUUAAUAAUGUCACUCGGAGACUGAUGCACCAUCACAUAAAAACUCACAUUUCUCCCAAUUUGCUUCCUGUCCCGUUAUAAAUCCAAAUCCAAACUCAUAAAGACAGGAAGGCUGACUGACGUUCACAUAAACUAAUCACCCUCUGUGUUCCCAUUUGAGCGACAGGCACUGCAGCCAAUGACAGCAGGGGUCAGUGUGAAGUCUGAGCUACGAUAGGCUGGAGGAAAUCGGCCCAUGAUCAGCCCCUCCUUUUCCGCUCCAUCGCCAUGGCGGAGAUCAGCGAGUCGCUUCUGUCGGUGUCGCCGGCCUCGGCGCCCACAAGGACGGGUGUGAUUCCCCUUCGCACUCGGUGGGUCUGUUUCGGUGCCGUCUGUGGUGGCUGACGAAACAUGCUUUGACAGAGAGCGAGCGAGGAACAAUGACUACAACUCCCAGAAGGCCCCACUGAUGACGUUGUGGUGUUGUUUCGGGCUUUCCACCACAGAUGUAAGGCUCAAUGGUCUAUAAUUAUCGGGACUAUCCCUACUACCCUUUUUGAACAAGGGGACAACAUUCGCCUCCCUCCAAUACUCCGGUACAAUUUCCGUGGACAAUGAGGACAUAAUGAUCUUCGCCAGAGGCUCAGCAAUCUAUUUCCUUGCCUCGGAUGCAGAACUGGGAAGCGCAGAUGGAGUUCAACACAGAUGAAGGGGUUCAUUUCUGCAGGUCAAAUUUGAACACAGAAUAUAAUAUUAAUGUGAUCUUACUCCUGACGCCAGUCCCAGGACCCAACCCAUUUACAGACCCGGAGCAUAACGGGAGCAGAUCCUCAGCCACUGGUUUUCAUCCCCAGUCGCAAAGUAAGGAUAAAGUUUCCGUGUGAAUUUAUUCCCAGUGAAGGUGUGGAGAUGGGACUUGGUUUCCGCGUUGUAAAAUGAAACUGUCCCGGACUCGUAACUGAGAUAAACUCCCACCCUCCCGGGGAUGGGACCGGCAGCGAGACGGGUCUCGGGGGAGGUACAAACCUUCAUCAUGUUAUUAUUCCGAAGUAACACGUCAUAAUACCGCCCAAUGACCCUGAAUCCUGUCUCCGGACUCAGUCCGACUCCUCUCUUCCCCUCCAACGACCCUGCGGUGACUCCUAAAUAACAGUCCCGAUUCCCCGUCACCUCCACCUCCCAGUCAUGUCUCCCAGCACACAACCCUGAUUUGUGAAUCUCUUCCCGGUGUCAGGGAGCUCUCUCCGGGUCCGGGUACAUCUCACACUCUUCCGAUCCUCAGACACCUCGAGAUCCGGAUUCGCCAUUUCCACAUCCAGGGUGACAGAGACUGGGGGGAGAAGCAGAGAAUUAGAGAGUCCCCGGGGAUCGGGGGGAGACUCGGGCAGCGCGUUUCCGGGGAUCGGGGAGAGACUCAGGCAGCGCGUCCCCGGGGAUCGGGGAGAGACUCAGGCAGCACUGCCCCAGAGAUUGGGGGAAUACUCGGGCAAAGUGUCCCCAGGACCAGUGGAAAGCCCGUGGGCCUUCGGCGCAGUCGGGUUGCCGAUCGGCAACCUUUCCCAGGGAAGCAUGUGGGCAACUAAUAUCUCUCCAAUAUCUUUCUGCUGGAUGGAGAGCAGAGAUUUCCUGAUCAAACAGACACAAAAUCCUGGAGGAACCGAGCGCGUCAGGCAGCAUGUGUGGAGAGAGAUGGACAGUCCACGUUUCAGGUCGACAUCUUCCCUCAAGAGCAGAAAUGAAUAGGGGAGAGAGACAGCAGAAAUGAGUGUGGGAAAGGGGUGGAUUAAGAUGGGAAGGGGGUGAGUGAAUGGAUUUAAACAGGUCGCAGAGGCUCUUCGGCCCAACUUGUUUGUGCCGACCAGCUUGCUUUAAUGAGCUGGUCCCAUUUGCCCAUUAUUCCUUUCCACCUUUGUUAUCCACGUCCCUGGCAAGAUGUAUUUUAAAACAUUGUCACUGUACCCAAUUCUACAGCUGAUCAAGAGCCCGGUGUACUAUACCAUGAAUUUUAGUGUCACCCACAAACCUACUAACUGUGUCAGCAACGUUCUGAUACAAAUCAUUAACAUGAAUGACAAACAACCCGUCCCCAGCACCGACCUCUGCAGGUCACAGGCCUCCAGUCCUCUGUGUUUAAGACACUUGGACAGACACUUCAACAGGCAAGGCAUGAGAGAGACUGACCUAAUGUUGGCCAAUGGGAUGAAUGUAGAUGGGUAAAUAGGUCAGCACGGAGGUGAUGGGUCAAAGGGAACAUUUCUAUGCUGUACGCAACGCCAUGCUGAUAAUUCCAAAUGGACAGUGACCCCUGACCUUUAACUCCUCAGACAGGGGAAACAUCCUCCCUGUAUCCUGCCUGUUGAUCCCUGAGAGAAUUUUGUAUUUCCCUGAGAUCUGCUCCCAUUCUUCUAAACAGGGAACAGAGAACACAGAACAGUACAGCACAAGAACAGGCCCUUCAUUCAAUGUUCACAUUCAUUGAGUGUGAAGUGGGAAGUUGAAGGUUCAAGAUAGUAAAGAAGGUGAUAAUGGGAACCAGUAGGGGAGAGAUGAACGGGGGAUUGAACCAGAACCAGGUGGGCGAGGGGUGGAAAGCCUGUGAGUGAACUGUGUGUGUAGACGUAACAAGAAGUUCGAGGGGAACAAAGAUGGGGGAUAAGUUUUCCUUUGUCCCCUUUCCCACAACCCAAUCACCCACAACCCCUCAUUAGGACACGGGAUGGAAAUGCACAGAUCCUUAAGCAAUACAGGUCCAGAUGAAGGGUUUCAGCCCAAGCCGUCGACUGUCUACUCUUUUCCAUAGAUGCUUCCUGUCCUGCUGAGUUCCUCCAGCAUUUUGUGCGUGUUAAUCUACAUUAAAUAUACUCAAUUAUUUGUCCUCUAUUCUCUGGCGAAAGGAAUUCCUCCUCGACUCUGUUCUAAAUGAGCAUCCUCCAGUCGGAGGCUGUGCCAUCUGGUCCUCGACCCACCCACAUCCCCCAGACAUCAACUCUCUCCAGACAGGAGACCAGGCAAGACCUUCAUCAGGACCUGUGUAGCUUGGAUUACCAGCAUCCGCAGAUUUUCAUCCUCCAGUCUGAGACUGUGCCAUCUGGUCCUCGACCCACCCACAUCCCCCAGACAUCAACUCUCUCCAGACAGGAGACCAGGCAAGACCUUCACCAGGACCUGUGUAGCUCGGAUUACCAGCAUCCGCAGAUUUUCUCAUGUGUGCAGGGUGCCGAAGCAGUUUAGAGGGCUUCACUGCCGCAUUAGACAGCCUCCAGGCCCGAACUCCAUCCUCGGCCGGCCCGCUGCCAGAUGCCUUGGCCAGGUGUGGCUGGUCAUGGGUGGGGUGUGAGGACAAGGUCAGGGCCGGAGGUCCCCGUGCCGGGGCCGCGGCGGUCGCAGUCUGGACAGAGCGACCGACCGAGAGGCCCGCGCCUGCGCCCUUUGUAGGAUCUAUCGACAGACAAAAGUUUGUUUCAGCAGAUCAUAGCGCGGUAGCUGCUCUGAUACUUGCGAAACCUUCAGCCCGAAUUAGGUUGUCUGUGAAUAUUUUAGCACCGGAUUCCCCAAGAAAAUUCGGUGUGCUAAACAAUUACAGCGGCGGCACCCAUCUGUCCGAGAUCGGGGCCAGUAGCAUUGGGUAUUCCCGCCAGCCACCUUUCGGGCUAGUAGCAUCGGCACUUCCCGCCGGCCGCGCGUUUAGGCGACUGAUGACCUUGCGUAGGUUCAAUUCCAACAGUAGCUGUGACAGGGAACGAGGAAAGGUGCAACUGACUCGCAUUGUUUCCUCGCGGCCCGGUGGUUGGGGACCACUGAAGUACACCGUCUGGGCACAGUGGAUUCUGAGUGGGCUGGGUGUAGGGAGAGAUGUGUUUGGUGGUAGAAUCUGGCUGGAGAUGGUGAAAGAUGUCAGGAUAAGUUGGAUAUAGAGGCUCGUGUUGCGGUUGUUCGGACUUUGGAGAUUCACUUGACGGUGGGGUCAGUAUCGAAUUCAGGCUGAUUUUACCGUGCACAUUUUAACAGCUUCUUUAAUCGGCAUGAAGUGGUGCUCUCUGUGUUCCUGCGCGUCUCUACAGAUCAGACAGAUCAAUGUCUUGUCCGUUUCACAAAACAGCUUCAGUUCUUCCUCAUGUUCCUCACAGUGACGUUUACUUUCCUUCCCUUUCGGAUUCAGGUUUAGAUUUCGAGCUUUUUCAGCCAGAUUUGCUAAGGCCCGAUUCACCCUGAGGGUGCGGUCAGCAAACACCUCUCUACAGUCCGGGCAGGAGUUUCUCUCCUCCCUUUCCCAAUACUUGUGAUACAAGAGCGACAGAAGUUGUGUCCACACUCCAGUAUAACCGGAUCGGUGAAGAAAUCCAGGCAGAUGGGACAAAUUACCUCCUCGGUCCAACUCUCGGUCUCUCCUUUCGAAGCCAUGUUAACUCCCGGCACUUCCUGAUUCAGAAUGCUUUCACUUUCGGGGAGCUGCUGAUCCCCUGCACGCUGCAGUGUCGGACACUGACCGUGGUUUUGCUGGAUGUGUUCAUUGGGGAAAAGUUUGGCUAUUUCCAUAUCAGGGUGGGAUCAGAAAAAUGUUAAAUAGGUGGGAACUGCAAAGAAAACGUGGCCCUGGACUGCCUAAGCCCGGCUGUGAAAGCAGGCGGGUUGGGCUUGUGAGAAAAAAAAAGUGCAACAGAAACGUCGACUGAAUCUCCAAAGGACUCAUCCCUGGAAUCAGAAGGACCAUCCCUGAAAUCAGAAGGACCGUCCCUCGGACCAGACGGACCGUCCCUGGGAUCAGAAGGACCGUCCCUCGGACCAGACGGACCAUCCCUGGGAUCAGAAGGACCAUCCCCUGGGAUCAGAACGACCAUCCCCGAGAUCAGACAGACCAUCCCCAGGAUCAGACGGACCAUCCCCGGGAUCAGACGGACCAUCCCCUGGGAUCAGAACGACCAUCCCCGGGAUCAGACGGACCAUCCCUGGGAUCAGAAGGACCAUCCCUGGGAUCAGACGGACCAUCCCCUGGAAGACGAUUGAGGUCGUGUGGUGAAAAAAGAAGCCACAGGGCCGAUCAACCCAGGCCCUGGAUUGGGGUCUCUGGCGAGCUGCUGUUGGCGACCCGUAGGCGUGGUGGGCUGAAGAAGAAGCAGAACAGAAAUGAAGCCAGAGAGAAGAGCCUGGUUCAGUCUGAGGCAGGACUGAAAGGGAGAAGUUCUGAAAAGAGAGGCCCAAGACACUGCACAUGCUGGAAUCUGCAGUAAGAAACAUGAUCCUGAAAGAAUUGUGGUGAGAAAUGUACAGUCGCCCUUCCUGGUCGAGAUCUUUCAUCUGGAAUGUCGAUUGUCCACUUCCCCCCACAGAUCGCUGCAAUUGCUGCCUGACCCGCUGAGUUCCUCCAGCGGUUUGUUUGUUUUUUAAAUUUUCUCGGGAAAUAAAUAACGAGAACAUGAAAUAACUGCAGCGGCUGCUGGUGGAUCUGAGGUGCUCUCACCGCAAAGGCAAACUUGUGCUUUAGAAAAUAAGAAACAGGAGGAUGCAUCGCCAUUCGGAUCAUGCCUGACCUUUCACCUCAGCGCCACUUUCAUGCAAAGUUCCCAACAUCGCUGAGACACCAAAUUUGCCUUUUCAAUUCAGAAACCUUGUGGGGAAAAUUCAAAAAUAUUUGCCGCACUCUGGGUGAGAAACUUUCUCCUCAUCUCUGUCCUGCUGAGCUGACCUCUGAUUUUGAGUCUGGAUCCCUGGUUCCAAACCACAGCCGGGAAACAUCAUACCUACCGCUACCCUGUCCAUAUAAUCUCUCUAAGGACACCUCCUCAUCCUUCCCUCCCCCCAAAUCAAUCUGGGAAACCUUCUCUUCAUUCCCUUCAUUCCACAGACUGACUCCGGGAGGGAGACCAGACCUGUGCACAGUGUUCCAUGUACGCUCUCACCAGGACCCCAUAUACCUUCAGUGGAGAUCUUUAUUCUUCUAUUCAAACCUUCCUUCCCAUUCAAUGCUCUUCAUUUAGUAUCGAACUCAAACAGUGAACAGACACAACACAGCCUCAGCCAUGAAUUUAAAGGGCAGGUGUUGCAACAGUUUGAGCUUCAUACCGGGGGCCACGGAGCAAGCAGGGUGUCACAAAGGAAGGAAUGUGGGAGUGUUGUAUGUCUGAGCCCAGCUGUGUGUGUUUGUGUAUCAGAAUCAGGCUUAAUAUCACGAACAUAUGUGUGAAAUUUGUUGUUUUGUGACAGCAGUACAUUGCAAUACAUAGUAAUAAAAAGUAUAAAUUACAACAAGUAUGUACAACAUUAUAUUUAAAAAGUAGUGCAAAAGAGAGGAAAAAUACUGAGCAACUGUUCAUGGGCUCAUUGUCCAUUCAGAAAUCUUAUAGCAGAGGGAGAAAAAGCUGUACCUGAAACAGUGAGUGGCUCUUUAGGAUCCUGUAUCUCCUCCUUGAUGGUAGCAAUUAGAGGAAGGCAUGUCCUGGGUGAUGAGGGUCCUUAAUGAUAGAUGCCACCUUUUUGUGGCAUCAUCUUUUGAAUGUGUCCUGGAUGCUGUGGAGUUCAGUGCCCAUGAAGGAGCUGGCUGAGUUUACAACUUUCUGCAGCAUUUUCCGAUCCUGUGCAGUGGCCUCUCCAUACCGAUAUAUCACCAUGUGCUGCAUUUACUGAAAUUGUGCAGCGUAUUAAUUUAAAAUAAAGGACCCAGUGAUUUCCCGGCGUUGAUGAUGUUUAAACUCUUCUCAGGCUUCCAACCGGGUACAGUUGUCUAUUUUAAUCAACAGUCCAAUACCAAUCUCUGCAUCUUCGUCAGGGACGACGCCUGGGCAUGUCUGAUCGGGGCGGCUGACGGAAAUAUAUAUACUACUGGAAUAGACAUGCCAAGGCAUCAUCCCCAGUGAAGAUGGCAGAGUUUGUAAUGGAAACAUCGGUUAAAGUUGACACCUUUACCCGGCUGGAAGCAGGAGAAUUUAUUAUCCUGUUAAAAAAUUCAUCAUCAUCAAAGUUCCUUUAUCUUAUUAUAGAAGUGAUCGGUUUUUCAGAAGAGCUGUUUUUUUUUGCCUUGUGCUUCUUGCCAUCGUUCUCAGCUCUUUGUUUAGUUUGCUGAGGAUUUGUAUGUUUGUUUGUACUCUAAGAUAACCAUGAAUUUUGAAAUUAAGCUCACUAGUUAUUCUUCACUCCUGGAAAAACUCUAAGCCUCAGAAAUUAAACAGAGUUUCCACAGGAGAAGAAAUCAGUCAUGAUGGGAUGGCAGACAGACGGGAAGGGCCGAAUGUUCUAACUUUGCUCCUUUAUCUCAUCGCCCUUCGGUCUAUGAACUCGUGCAGCUGCAUUUGAGGCUCCAUGACGAUGGGAGACCAUAAGAUACAGGAGCAGGAUUUAGCCAUUCGGCUUGUGACGGGCAGUGCUCAAUAAACACACUCCUGACACACACAAACAUUGUCUUUUCAUUCUGUUGUCAUUCAGCUGACUGUACGCACUUUAAUGUCUUCAACGUUAUUUUUAAUAAAAUGUUUUAAACUGGGUUGAUAUGCUCAGGUUGGCUUUGUGGUGCCUUUCCGAACAUACACGGUAUCAAUGUCUCUGGUGAUGGGUAUAUGUAAAUGUGUAUAUGUUGUUUGUAUACCGGAGACAGAUAGAUAAUUAUGUUUAUUUUGUAACUACAUUGUGGGGUGCAUCAUGGUCUAAUUUGGGUGCAGUCUUCAAUAAACUUUGUGGCCAAUUAAAGAUGAUGUGUUCUGGUUCCCAAUAAAUGGGGCUGGUCGCUCUUGCAAAAAUGUGAGAGACUAUUUCAGACAUUUUUUCAUUGAAGGGGAAGGUGAGGUGGGAGCAUUCACUCAGGGGGUG